rnacentral:sRNA from 1 species
GUACCCGCCUGCCUCUAUGUUGCUCAACUUUAGGUACUCCGUACUCGUUAGUGCCUCUAGCUGAUGUGUCGAGGAGACGAAAUGGCGGGGGUAUACAGCUAGACCAUAAAAGUCCCAGCAGCCGCCCAAGCUAUCAAGCUCUCUUACUCUGUCCCAGAGUACGUGCUAGCAGUUGCUAAACUACUGGUAGUAAUCAUUCUCAUUCUCAACCCUCAAUCCUCACCUGCGAAAAUGAAACAACCCUCCAGGUACCGCGCCGCCUUUCAGUCAAUGAAUAACUAUGUAAAAAUUUAUUUUUAGAUAUUUCAGAAAUUCUUAAUACUACUAGCACUUGUAAAUCUUCAGCUAUUCCCCCUCAUUUCCUCCCCUACCCCGCGAUAACCGACUGCUGAAACACCGUGUGCCAUAGAGCUCUGCCCAGUGGGAGGGCAUAUAACGUACCAGUGGCAUAAUAACAAUACGUAGAUGCAUAUCAUUCAAAGCAUAUAUAACAUAACAUUUACUCGACGAAGCUUGCCCCCCCGCAGGAAAUAGAGGUGGUAUGUAUGGUAUAUGUACAGUACAGUGCAAGCCGCCCACUGGCAGAGAGCUCUUGUCUGCCGGCUUUGCGGGGAUGGAACGAGCACAAUUAGACGUGUCAUUAUUACCAUUAUCAUAAAUUGUGCGCGCGGUAUGUACAGUACAUACAUGGGGCAUUAUCGCAAUAAAUAAAAUUGAAGCUCCCGAAGACGGAAAAGAAGGAAUAGGAAAAUGAAUAUCAAAAGACUCUCCCAACAGAUGCAACUUAGGUUAACAUACGCAGAGCGAUAGUUGAAUGAAAUGAAAAAAAAAAAAAAAAAAGGCAAGAAAAAAACCAUAAAACAACCAUAAAAUGAUAAUUGGAGACAAUUAACGAACUACGUCAUUUUCAAUUUUACCAUAUCCGGAAAAAGGACAUGGAAGGGGUAGAUUAGCAGUUAGGAAAAAAAGGGAAAAAAGAAAAACCCGGGGAAUUUACACCGCGCCUAUUCCAAAUCUCCGCCCCUACGACCCCCGAUACGUCGUAUAAUUCCACGGCCCCAACAGCACAGGGACAUGGUAAUGCCUCCACCCAUCCCACCGCUCGCUACCCUUGACCAAAAACUGCACCUCGAUUUCGCGCCAGAAGCUCUCCACCCCUUGCUCGGCGUACCACUCACCCACGUUCCGGAUGCGCAGGGUCC